GUGUUCGAUUUUUUAAAUAGGAUUUGAUUAGAUGUUCCGAAAUUUCAAACGCGUUUUUCUCGUUUCGAGCUAACUGCUAGUUUCGCCCUUAUGAAAUGUUACGCUAGAUUUGUCCGAUAAUUUAAAUUUCACCUCAUGAAGAUUUCAAGAACUACAACGUGAUUUAACGCAGUGUUUCUAGAAAAAUCAAAACCAAAACAAACCGCGAAUUUCGAGCAAAUGCUUGCGUGCCACGAACAGUUUAAAAACGAAGACUUCCCGUAAGUUCACCAGAGAAAAGCUUCACCCGAUCGCUACAGUCAUCCGGAAGAGCCUCGUCCAACGAACCGCAUCGUUAUCGACCGGGAACGGUGAGCUUGUCAUCGUCACCAAAAGUGCACUUGGCUGCUGAUCAGAGAGCAGCAACUCCAGCGGUGUAAUUUGUCCACUGACUUCUGAUUUUCAGGAAGGCGGCCAACUCGUUCCUUUAUCCGGUGGUGUAGCAGCAAUUAAUUCCGUUGGAGACCUUCGUAGCGGAAAAUCCUCGGAUCACGGAAACUCUUCUUGAAAGGCGUCCCGGAGUCAGUUUCAACGUCGCUCAACUGAAGAUGGCGGCUAGGAUAAAAAAAAUGCCGGAAAUGUUGAAUUAUCCAUGUAACGAGGGAUCGAGCUUCCAAAUAUUCCAGGUAAAAAGCUUAACAGAGCACAGUUGGGUUGGAUGUUCGCAACACCGACCUGGCUUUUGCGGACUAGGUCAAUUUGGAAUGUUUUCGGUAUGUCAUCCAACAACGUAGGUAACAGCAAUGAAGCCAAGAGUAGGAGUGGCUGGAAUCCAAUCCAGUCCAAAUCGUUGUUUUGGUGGAGCCAACCGAAUUCGACCAACAAGUUAAGAUCAACAUCACUUCAUUCUUCGGGUUUCAUGUUCGGAACAACAACAACGCUGCAGUUCCGCAACAUUUGGGAAAGCUACAACAUCGCCGGCGCUGGAAAUGCAAACCACUUCCUAUUGGUGGUAGUAUCACAACUUCUUCAUCAAAGCUAUAUUGCAAUAAUUCGAUUGUUAGUAAGUAGAAGAAUUGAUCUAUAUGUGAUUUUUUUUUCUUCAAUUUUCAACUACCUAUAUCUAUGAAUUUUAACACUUGGACUUUUUUCAUAACAUUAAA